CAAUAAAGCCACGCGCGCCCCGCCGGAGAGGACGGCGCGGCGCACGCUCGCGUGCGCAGUACCCGCGUCGCCCGUGUUGGUGUUUGGGAUGGGGGGUUAGGUGUCGGCGGUGAGGGAGGGAGGAGGAGGGAGCAGACGGCGGCGGUGAGGGAGGGACGAGCAGCGGGGACAGAGGCGGGAUCCUCGAAGCGGCGGAGGGCGCGCGAGCAGGAGAGUAGAGGGUACCUCCCCUCCCCACCCCUACAUCCCCUUCCUCCUUCGGCCGCUCCUUCCGUUCGUUGUCGCCCCUUCCUCGACCCACUCGCUAGGAUCGCCCAUCCUUCCCCGUCCCACUACGGAGCGCGUGUACGGCCGCCGGCCGUCCAGCUUAACAGCGCGGUGGCGCAGCAGCGGAGGAGACGCGGUACUCCGCGGUGGAGACGGAGGUGGGAGGUGGCCCGUUCCUCGAGCUCUACUUGUCCGCCACCCUUCCACUCUCCUUCGUCCUCGAUAGAGAGGAAGUUACCGACGGAACACGUAGACCUCAUAUUCCUCCUGUUGUGCACGGACAACCUCCGCUGAGCUCGUUGCGUCCGGUCGCCGCUUGAUCUAGACUGUAUCUUCUGGUGCAAGCAGUCUAAUCUUUCACUAGAAGAAGGUUACCGAAAUUACCUACACGUGAGAACAGAGGCAGCAAUAUGGAUAAAACCUUAGGUACCGUCGUACGACACGAAACAGCCGUGUAAGCACGUACACACUCCAGCGUCUACUUCUUCGUGGCUUACUAGUAAUAUAAGAGGAGACGAGACUAGAAGAUAACUGUAUAACAAAAGUCAACGACAAAUCAUACCUACGGAGGUACCAACGUAUCCGUUGGUUGUGUAGCCGCCAAAGUUCCGACCAGGACCCGCCGCGGAGCAGUCGCAGCACCUACCAACCCGUCGCGGAACCGUAAGGUCUCCCCGCUUCACCCGGCCGGUCGUACGCACCCCGCGUUUCCAGUGCUCGUCCUCCCUCUACGCGACCUCCACUACCUCCUCCUUCAGCCUCCACCGUAGUCGCAGGUACCGCUGCGGUGGGGCCCUUGGGAGGACGUGUGGAGCCGUACCAAGCAGACACGGUGUACCACCGGUUCUACGACCUCACCUAGUUCUCGCCUGGCAUCGUCGUCCUCGUUCCUAGACCACCACCAAGUACUAUAACCUGACGUAAUGAUUUACAAGAUCCCAACCUCUCUUGAAUCUCUCCCACCUCUCCUCUUUGCCGACGCGGCCUGCCACGAGCAGUACUACAAGGACCUCUCCUCCCGAUCUCGUCAGUGGCAUCUCGUCCCUCCGCCGACCUCAACAGGCAAUAACUCCUUUCUUACCGUCGAGCCCCUCUGAACUCCGUCGCCACCGCCCCUCACACACACACAAGUCUUGUCUACACAAAAGUCUUGAAUAAUGAAAACUAUGUGACGGGGAAAUACAACUCGUCUACGCCUAGUAUAAAUCCCUCUAAUUCUACGAGUUCUGGUUCCUUACGUCUGACUUCCGACGGUUACUAUGGGAAGUUCUUUCCGGGAUUGUCUAUUUACCUUCGUAGAUAACCCACCAUGAGAGUGAUGAAUCGUUUCUCUUACUUCCCAGUUGUAAAUGCCAGUACGACGGGUACGAAACCUUUUUUCCGUUUUUACAAAAUGCCGAGUUCGUACCCUUCAUAUCUGGUUUCUUACACCAAAUGUCAAAGGGAUAAAACAACCUAGUUGAUUACACAACGAAACAACGAAGUACACUCACUACAUACAUUAGUUCUUGGUCCUUUCGUAUGAUCAUAUAACGUUAGGGUUUUGAAUCUUUUUACGGGUUUGGAUGUAUAAACAUUAAUUGUAAAUCGCGAUGUACAACGGUAACCCAGUAAGAUAGUACACUACAAGAAUAUGUUUAUACAACAAAAGAGUUAGAAUCUAGAG
rnacentral:rRNA from 1 species